AUACCGGCAGCCCAAGUGAUGGCCGAUCUUAUUGGGCCUAAAGCGUCCGUAGCUGGCCGCGCAAGUCCAUCGGGAAAUCCACCUGCUCAACAGGUGGGCGCCCGGUAGAAACUGCGUGGCUUGGGACCGGAAGGCGCGACGGGUACGUCCGGGGUAGGAGUGAAAUCCCGUAAUCCUGGACGGACCGCCGAUGGCGAAAGCACGUCGCGAGAACGGAUCCGACAGUGAGGGACGAAAGCCAGGGUCUCGAACCGGAUUAGAUACCCGGGUAGUCCUGGCCGUAAACAAUGUCUGCUAGGUGUGGCUCCCACUACGAGUGGGUGCUGUGCCGUAGGGAAGCCGCUAAGCAGACCGCCUGGGAAGUACGUCCGCAAGGAUGAA
rnacentral:rRNA from 2 species